CAUCCAUAUCACGCGGAAACACUCGUUCACUUCCGAUCAGCGAAAUUAAGCAACGUCGAUUUUGGUCAGUACUUUGGUGGUUGACCACUUGCGAAUACCAGGUUCUGUA